AGAGUUUGAUCAUGGCUCAGGAUGAACGCUAGCUACAGGCUUAACACAUGCAAGUCGAGGGGAAACGACGUCGAAAGCUUGCUUUUGAUGGGCGUCGACCGGCGCACGGGUGAGUAACGCGUAUCCAACCUGCCACCACUUGGGGAUAACCUUGCGAAAGUAAGACUAAUACCCAAUGACGUCUCUAGAAGACAUCUGAAAGAGAUUAAAGAUUUAUCGGUGAUGGAUGGGGAUGCGUCUGAUUAGCUUGUUGGCGGGGUAACGGCCACCAAGGCGACGAUCAGUAGGGGUUCUGAGAGGAAGGUCCCCCANAUUGGAACUGAGACACGGUCCAAACUCCUACGGGAGCA
rnacentral:rRNA from 1 species